AGGAGCCGAGUGAUGGGAAAUCAUCAUGCUCGGUUUUGGAGCCGAGUCAACGGGGUGACCCGUUGACUUAGGUUAAC
rnacentral:ncRNA from 1 species